CUAAAAGGUACAAAGACUUGGAGAAAAAGGAAGAGAAAUUGCAGAUCCAAUAGUUGGAGAAGGAGCUGUCACAGGCGGCGUGGAAUAUUAACGAGCCCAAAGCAGCAGUGCAGAGAGAGCAGGAGGAUCCAGGGUUUAGACAACACGACAAAAUUCCAAUUCAGAAGAAUCAACACACUAUUGAAGCAAGAAGUAAUACAAUGUAAAGCUGCCUUUUUUCAAAGAGUAAGCCAUGGCGCCUUGGUAUGCUAGUUUUAGAUUUUGAUGACAGAGAGCUGAAAGUUAUCACUUCUUCUUAAAGAGCAUAUCAUGUAAAUAUUCACUGACAAAGAAAGAAUUUGGAUUAAGAAAACCAGCAUCCACUUUAGAAGAAUGAUGGAGUCAAGAUAAUAAGUCAUCAAGCCCCAAACUUGCC
rnacentral:lncRNA from 1 species